GCAGCCCCGGCGAGGGGUCCUCAGCGCGGGGCUGUGCGCAGGCUCCGCCGGCAGGAGGCGCUCGGCUGGGCUGGAGGGGACAGGAAGGAGCGGGGGGGGACGGCUGGUCUGAGAGGACGGCAGGUACCAGCGCUCCCUCCGAAGCCAGUGACAGAGCACCACCUCAGUGAUGGCCUCCUGUCCCCAGCGCGGUGGGGCUGGGUCAGCUGAAGGGUGGCUCUGCUGCCUGAGGAGGCUGGGGUGACUCCACCAGAAACCAGAGCCGUGGGCGUUCAGAAACCAAGCUCGGGUAAAACCCGCUGUGACGUGCGCUUGCCGCUUGGUUGGUGUAGACGCCAGUGCCGCCCUUCAUCCUCCACCCUCUCUGAUAACAGUAGCCCAGGCUUUCUAAACAACAGAACGUGGGGCCUUGGGAAAAAGCUCGUUACCAAUGUGGGGCCUUGGGAAAAAACUCGUUACCAGGAUAAUGGAGAAAUUCAAUAAAGCUUAAAAUUUGAAUAAUGAAAGAACUCACGAUGUAGAAGAGGAUUGGUGGAGACAGGGCAGGUUGGGAAUCCCCAAUAGUGAAAUUUCAGCAUCUGGGAUGAGCUGCUUUAAGCUUGGGUGUAGUAGAAAUUGGGAUAAAACCAUUGCAUUUAACAGAUUUACCUCAUGCUUUUUAACAGUUUAACCUUCCAGCAGUUGAACAGAUUGCUGGGAGGUGCACGCAGGGUGGAACCAGCCCCCGUGUACGCACAGACCGGGGCCGUUCACCGAGGGGGGUGCGGCGGGAGAAGACACGGCUCGCUGGGUCCCUGCCCGCAGAGCCGGUUCUCACCACAUUAACCAGGAUUUGGAGAAAAAAGAAAUAAAUCACCGAAUCCUUCCAGCAUUGGUUUUCUAUAUUUAUAUUUUAAGAGCAGGACGCAGGCUUUAUAUUUUCUCUGUAACAACUUUUAAAGCCGUGGGGUUUUUUUCUUGGAGUCGGAGCAUGCGCAGACAGCACGGGUGCCGGCGGCCGCCAGCAGGGGGCGGUGCGCGCAGGGCCCGCGGCGCCGCCACCGCCCAGC